rnacentral:hammerhead_ribozyme from 1 species
GCAUUGCUGAAGAGUCCCAUAAUAGGACGAAUUAGCCAUCCAGUAC